UGGAUUUAUAGCUGUUCAUGCAAACAUGGAGAGAUUAUGGUGUAUUUUCCAGCAGUUAAGAGGUAAUGCUAAAUAUGUAGAGGUGUUAUCAGUUAGAAUCUUAGGUUGAGCAACAUACUGACUUAUUGUGUAAUACUUGAUUGUACA